rnacentral:rRNA from 1 species
UGGGGAAUUUUGGACAAUGGGCGCAAGCCUGAUCCAGCAAUGCCGCGUGCAGGAUGAAGGCCUUCGGGUUGUAAACUGCUUUUGUACGGAGCGAAACGGCUCUACCUAAUACGUAGGGCUAAUGACGGUACCGUAAGAAUAAGCACCGGCUAACUACGUGCCAGCAGCCGCGGUAAUACGUAGGGUGCGAGCGUUAAUCGGAAUUACUGGGCGUAAAGCGUGCGCAGGCGGUCUUGUAAGACAGAUGUGAAAUCCCCGGGCUCAACCUGGGACCUGCAUUUGUGACUGCAAGGCUGGAGUGCGGCAGAGGGGGAUGGAAUUCCGCGUGUAGCAGUGAAAUGCGUAGAUAUGCGGAGGAACACCGAUGGCGAAGGCAAUCCCCUGGGCCUGCAUUGACGCUCAUGCACGAAAGCGUGGGGAGCAAACAGGAUUAGAUACCCAUGUAGUCCCUGAGCGGGCUGGCAAGGCGCAU